rnacentral:rRNA from 1 species
UACGAAGGGGGGCUAGCGUUGCUCGGAAUGACUGGGCGUAAAGGGCGCGUAGGCGGUUUGUACAGUCAGGUGUGAAAGCCCCGGGCUCAACCUGGGAAUUGCAUUUGAGACUGAAUAGCUAGGGUGCGGAAGAGGGAAGCGGAAUUUCCGGUGUAGCGGUGAAAUGCGUAGAUAUCGGAAGGAACACCAGUGGCGAAAGCGGCUUCCUGGUCCAGCACCGACGUCAGGCACGAAAGCGUGGGGAGCAAACAGGG